rnacentral:rRNA from 1 species
AGCGAACGCUGGCGGCAGGCCUAACACAUGCAAGUCGAGCGGCCGUAGCAAUACGGCAGCGGCAGACGGGAGAGUAACACGUGGGAACGCGCCCUUCGGUUCGGGAUAACUCAGGGAAACUUGGGCUAAUACCGGAUACGCCCUUACGGGGAAAGAUUUAUUGCCGAAGGAACGGCCCGCGUCCGAUUAGCUUGUUGGUGAGGUAACGGCUCACCAAGGCGACGAUCGGUAGCUGGUCUGAGAGGAUGACCAGCCUCACUGGGGCUGAGACACGGCCCAGACUCCUACGGGAGGCAGCAGUGGGGAAUAUUGGACAAUGGGCGCAAGCCUGAUCCAGCCAUGCCGCGUGGGUGAUGAAGGCCCUAGGGUUGUAAAGCCCUUUCAGCGGGGAAGAUAAUGACGGUACCCAAUGAGGAAGCCACGGCUAACUACGUGCCAGCCGCCGCCGUAAUAC